rnacentral:misc_RNA from 1 species
AAAAAAGCAGGCGGUUCUUCGCGCAACGGACGUGACUCGGCUGGCAAGCGCCUUGGUGUCAAGGCGUUCGGCGGCGAACACGUGAUUCCGGGAAAUAUCAUUGCGCGUCAACGCGGCACGACCUNNNNNNNNNNNNCGGCCUUAACGUCGGCAUGGGCACGGAUCACACCCUGUUCGCCAAGAUCGAAGGUCACGUCGAAUUCCGCGCCAAAGCCAACGGCCGCACCUUCGUCUCGGUUAUUCCGAUGGCGGCCGCGGCUGAAUAAACGGUAGACACAUCGCGUCUGCCGGGUCUCGUUGAACCGGCAGAGCGCCAGAAGGCUCGAAAGGGGAGACGGGUAAACCGGCCUCCCCUUUUCGUUUGCGCCCGUUGGGGACG